rnacentral:rRNA from 1 species
UACGGAGGGUGCAAGCGUUAUCCGCAUUCACUGGGUUUAAAGGGUGCGUAGGAGGACAGGUAAGUCAGUGGUGAAAUCUCCGAGCUUAACUUGGAAACUGCCGUUGAUACUAUCUGCCUUGAAUAUUGUGGAGGUGAGCGGAAUAUGUCAUGUAGCGGUGAAAUGCUUAGAUAUGACAUAGAACACCAAUUGCGAAGGCAGCUCGCUACACAUAUAUUGACUCUGAGGCACGAAAGCGUGGGGAUCAAACAGG